rnacentral:pre_miRNA from 1 species
AAACUACUCCCUCCAUCCGAAAAUACUUGUCAUCAAAAUGGAUAAAAAAGAUGUAUCUAGAACUAAAAUACGUCUAGAUACAUCCCCUUUUAUCCAUUUUGAUGACAAGUAUUUCCGGACGGAGGGAGUACUUA